AGAAGGGAUUGUUGCUCCUUAAAUUCAUUAUAAUGGGCUAACGGCCAAAAGUAGCAUGCUUUCUUCUUCUCCGGCGCAAACCAGAGCUCUCACUUAUCUGUUAAUCUGCCUUUGAGUGAUUUAUAAUCAUACCUAUCUUCCCCUGCUCAUUCUGAGAUAGAUAGCGUUUAGUUUAAACUUCUGCAACCUAGUUUUCAUUGGGCAACGAGACAACGUCGACAUACAUG
rnacentral:misc_RNA from 1 species